UGGCACCGUGGAAUGCUGGGUCACGUCAAUAUAUUCCUAACCAGGUGCAAAAACAUGAAAUACGAGGCUCAACAAUAAACAGUAAGGUUAACCACUGACCUGACAGCCCUGUGUUGUUGUUGUUGUGGGUGACACGUAACAACACUAUCACAGUUACCGCCUGUUACAUCACACUGUGCAAAUUAGCUGGCUGGACAAGUGGUGGGCCGGUUUCUUACCAAUAUUAUCCCUUGUGGCACUGCAGGCACCUCCCGGCAGGCACCAAGCUUGCACCAGCACACGCAGGCACCCACCACGGCCCCUGUCACUGUCUUGUUCUGCGAAAAUACGUUAAAUAAAGCACCAGUUUAUGGCACCCUUUUAACCUAGUGCCUUGUGUCUGACGUCUGGUUGUGUCGUCCGUCCCAGCCUGCUCCGCACAGUACGCAGGCAAACCUAUCCACAACACACUUAGCUUUCAAUAACAAGCACCAACUUCUUUUAUAUUAUACUAAACUAAUAGAAAAUUAAAUAUAAAGAAUUAUAAGCGUGUAAAAAUAAAUCUCAGGCCAUUAUAACUGUAAUUGUCAAAGUAUCUAGAUGUUACUGAUUGAAGCGCCAAAUUCAAACUGGUCCUGGCGGGACUUACACUGCAAUGUCUCGUCCCUUGUGUGGCGUAAUGUGAAAUCAUUGAAAAGCUUGUGUGAAUUGAAGGCUUGGCUUAAUACUGUGUUAUAUCUCAGCUUAUCAUUAUUAAGUAUUUACCAUUUGACGUUAAAAAACAACAAUACUUCACAGAGAUAUCCAAGUAUAACAGAGGCUUCCAUACUGUAGCUAAUGAUCAACAGAGAAUUACCAGCCUUUCUCUGUGUGUCAAAGAGAGCCCUUAGGGAAACGUUCGUGUGCGUGUGUGUGUGUGUGUGUGUGUGUGGUAUGGAAAGAUAUAAUUGCUUAAGUACAGCUCUCUCUCUCUCUCUCUCUCUCUCUCUCUCUCUCUCUCUCUCUCUCUCUCUCUCUCUCUCUCUCUCUCUCUCUCUCUCUCUCUCUACGUAUUUUGCCUGUCUGCCCUCGUGUGUGUGUGUGUGUGUGUGUGUGUGUGUAUCUCAUUUAUUUAUUUAAGUUAUUUUUCUUCUUCACGCAGAUAGUAAUUGACGAACACAACACACCACGUGGAGAGAAGCAAGGUGUGGAGUACCCAAGCCUCUCACAGUCCAUGCUAGUAGACUCACCCUGCAUGUGGAGAUCUCCCAAAAUGCACGGAGGUUAUUCCAGAGCUGCAGGACAGAGUACUUGAGGCCAUUGGUGAACAGAAAGCUGAGGUUGAACAAAGCCAAGAAUUGAUAGCUGCCCAAGGUGUAAGCAAGAUUCACAAUGAUGAGGUCAUUGUGACGUGUGCAAUGUGUCCACUGGUCUUGGCCUUCCUGACCAAGGCAGCCACACAAAGGAAAUUCCACGUUAUUGUUGCCGAACGUGCCCCUAAAUAUGAUGGUCACCCAGUGGCAAAAGCUUUAUGUACUGCUGGAAUUGAGACAACAUUAAUUCAAGACUCUGCAGUGUUCCCCAUCAUGUCACGUGUCAACAAGGUCAUCAAAGGUCAUCGUUGGCACCGAGACGGUGGUGACCAACGGAGGCAUUGAGACCUUUGUUGGUGCAGCCUCUCUUGCCUCACCACCAAAGUUUUAUUCUGUUCCACUGUAUGUGUGCACUCCCACAUACAAAUUUAGCUUGAUGGGCUGUGAAGAAAUAAGCCACCAAACCACCACUUCUAUUAUCCCAGAGGGAACAAAGUUUUGGCCGUCUGUAAAUACUGCGCUGACUCAGCUAGAUUACGUUCCUCCAGAAAAUGUCACCAGUUUGAUAACUAACAAUCGAGGUACUGCACCAUCCUACGUGUACCGGCAGCUUAGCGAACUGUACCGUCCCACUUCUUGUGUAACAAGAAGGUAACAGCUUUAAUCCUUGCAAAUAAGGAAUAAGAGAAAAGAGACACACCUGCCAUUUGUACUGUUAUGCUGUAGUGUUCUGUCAUUUUUUUCCUCUUUUAUCCUAGAACCAUUUUUGGUCAUUCAUGUUUCUAAAAAUUAUUAUACAAAAAUGUUGAGCUUAAUAUGUUUGGUGUAGUUUUUUGUAACAUGUGUUAUUGUUAAUGUGUGUGGUUCCCCUCAGGAAGAAUGUUGCAGUAUUAGCAGUAAUGUUACAGCCAAUGGAAGUGUCUGUAUUGUGGUUUGGUGGGAGGUUAAUUUGAUGUAUUUUUAGAGUUGUGCAGGAUAUUAUAGCAAGCCCUCAAAAUAAAGAAAAUAACUAUAGAAAACACUCCUUGUAUUGAAAACACCACUGCAGAGAAAUCUCUAAUGAAACAGGAAACCCUACAUUCAGUACUGUGUGGUUGUUGCAGUAACACUGAGCUAAAUGCCUUUUGGAUGGUUGUACACUAAAAAUAAUGUAAAAAUGCCUAUAAACAACUGUCCGUCCCUGCAUUAAAAACCUUUCAUCAUAAAA